CAACCAUCAGUUUUUCUUUUUGCCCCCUAGAAUUAGGCCUCCAUUAAGCAGUUUCUUACUGCAAACUGAAAAUAGUCUUAGAGAUUCCUAAGGAUGGCAAACAAGCAGAAGAGAUAUUCCAGUUACAACAAGGCAGGAAUGAAAAACUGGAAUAACAGAAGUCCUAUUAAUUUAUUCCAUUCUGAGAACAAGUUCAAUGUGUAAAGGAAAAAAGAGAACAAGAAACAAGCCAUAAACUAUGCAUAUCUUCUAUAACAGAGCUCACCUCAUCUCAUAUUCCUGUGGGAGAACACACAGUGACACUGGUGGGUGAUGCUACUAAAGAAGAAAAUUAAAAGACGAUUGGAUAAUGAACUGGAGUGAAAGGCAAGGACUUAAAGAUGAAAUAAUAAAUUGCAA